rnacentral:rRNA from 1 species
CCUACGGGAGGCUGCAGUGAGGAAUAUUGGUCAAUGGCCGUAAGGCUGAACCAGCCAAGUCGCGUGAAGGAUGACGGAUCUAUGGUUUGUAAACUUCUUUUAUCGGGGAAUAAAGGUAUCCACGUGUGGAUAUUUGCAUGUACCCUAUGAAUAAGCAUCGGCUAACUCCGUGCCAGCAGCCGCGGUAAUACGGAGGAUGCGAGCGUUAUCCGGAUUUAUUGGGUUUAAAGGGUGCGCAGGCUGUUUUUUAAGUCAGCGGUGAAAGUUUGUGGCUCAACCAUAAUAUUGCCGUUGAAACUGGGAGCCUUGAGUGUGUUUGAGGUAGGCGGAAUGCGUGGUGUAGCGGUGAAAUGCAUAGAUAUCACGCAGAACUCCGAUUGCGAAGGCAGCUUACUGAGCCAUAACUGACACUGAAGCACGAAGGCGUGGGGAUCGAACAGGAUUAGAUACCCUGGUAGUC